rnacentral:rRNA from 1 species
AUUGAACGCUGGCGGCAUGCUUUACACAUGCAAGUCGAACGGCAGCACGGGCUUCGGCCUGGUGGCGAGUGGCGAACGGGUGAGUAAUGCAUCGGAACGUACCGUGUAAUGGGGGGAUAACGUAGCGAAAGUUACGCUAAUACCGCAUACGCCCUGAGGGGGAAAGCGGGGGAUCGUAAGACCUCGCGUUAUACGAGCGGCCGAUGUCGGAUUAGCUAGUUGGUGGGGUAAAGGCCUACCAAGGCGACGAUCCGUAGCGGGUCUGAGAGGAUGAUCCGCCACACUGGGACUGAGACACGGCCCAGACUCCUACGGGAGGCAGCAGUGGGGAAUUUUGGACAAUGGGCGCAAGCCUGAUCCAGCCAUGCCGCGUGAGUGAAGAAGGCC